AUUGGUUAGGGGGUGUGGGAAGGAAGCGAUGCAAGUGUUAUUCUCUUUGUAUAUUCUGUAAUUUUGAGGUCUAACGGAGAUUUCAUGAAUGUUAUAUCUUUGCCUGAUGACAGUGAGUAGAAGAAUACAAGCAGCGUCUUAGAAUCCAUGCUGUAUCUCAUUUAGUUCACACUGAUCUGAUCAGCUGCUAAACACGCGAGUACAAGGAAGCAGAGGUAACAUUUCAGAUUA
rnacentral:misc_RNA from 1 species